GACGAACGCUGGCGGCGUGCCUAAUACAUGCAAGUCGAACGCAUUUUCUUUCACCGUAGCUUGCUACACCGAAAGAAAAUGAGUGGCGAACGGGUGAGUAACACGUGGGUAACCUGCCCAUCAGCGGGGGAUAACACUUGGAAACAGGUGCUAAUACCGCAUAAUUCCAUUUACUGCAUGGUAGAUGGAUGAAAGGCGCUUUUGCGUCACUGAUGGAUGGACCCGCGGUGCAUUAGCUAGUGGGUGGGGUGACGGCCUACCAAGGCUGCGAUGCAUAGCCGACCUGAGAGGGUGAUCGGCCACACUGGGACUGAGACACGGCCCAGACGCCUACGGGAGGCAGCAGUAGGGAAUCUUCGGCGAUGGACGCAAGUCUGACCGAGCAACGACGCGUGAGUGAAGAAGGUUUUCGGAUCGUAAAACUCUGUUGUUAGAAAAGAACAAGGAUGAGAGUGGAAAGUUCAUCCCUUGACGGUAGCUAACCAGAAAGCCACGGCUAACUACGUG
rnacentral:rRNA from 1 species